rnacentral:rRNA from 1 species
GUUUUUUUUCUCUGCUCAGGACGAACGCUGGCGGCGUGCUAAUACAUGCAAGUCGAGCGGACAGAUGGGAGCUUGCUCCUGAUGUUAGCGGCGGACGGGUGAGUAACACGUGGGUAACCUGCCUGUAAGACUGGGAUAACUCCGGGAAACCGGGGCUAAUACCGGAUGGUUGUUUGAACCGCAUGGUUCAAACAUAAAAGGUGGCUUCGGCUACCACUUACAGAUGGACCCGCGGCGCAUUAGCUAGUUGGUGAGGUAAUGGCUCACCAAGGCAACGAUGCGUAGCCGACCUGAGAGGGUGAUCGGCCACACUGGGACUGAGACACGGCCCAGACUCCUACGGGAGGCAGCAGUAGGGAAUCUUCCGCAAUGGACGAAAGUCUGACGGAGCAACGCCGCGUGAGUGAUGAAGGUUUUCGGAUCGUAAAGCUCUGUUGUUAGGGAAGAACAAGUACCGUUCGAAUAGGGCGGUACCUUGACGGUACCUAACCAGAAAGCCACGGCUAACUACGUGCCAGCAGCCGCGGUAAUACGUAGGUGGCAAGCGUUGUCCGGAAUUAUUGGGCGUAAAGGGCUCGCAGGCGGUUUCUUAAGUCUGAUGUGAAAGCCCCCGGCUCAACCGGGGAGGGUCAUUGGAAACUGGGGAACUUGAGUGCAGAAGAGGAGAGUGGAAUUCCACGUGUAGCGGUGAAAUGCGUAGAGAUGUGGAGGAACACCAGUGGCGAAGGCGACUCUCUGGUCUGUAACUGACGCUGAGGAGCGAAAGCGUGGGGAGCGAACAGGAUUAGAUACCCUGGUAGUCCACGCCGUAAACGAUGAGUGCUAAGUGUUAGGGGGUUUCCGCCCCUUAGUGCUGCAGCUAACGCAUUAAGCACUCCGCCUGGGGAGUACGGUCGCAAGACUGAAACUCAAAGGAAUUGACGGGGGCCCGCACAAGCGGUGGAGCAUGUGGUUUAAUUCGAAGCAACGCGAAGAACCUUACCAGGUCUUGACAUCCUCUGACAAUCCUAGAGAUAGGACGUCCCCUUCGGGGGCAGAGUGACAGGUGGUGCAUGGUUGUCGUCAGCUCGUGUCGUGAGAUGUUGGGUUAAGUCCCGCAACGAGCGCAACCCUUGAUCUUAGUUGCCAGCAUUCAGUUGGGCACUCUAAGGUGACUGCCGGUGACAAACCGGAGGAAGGUGGGGAUGACGUCAAAUCAUCAUGCCCCUUAUGACCUGGGCUACACACGUGCUACAAUGGACAGAACAAAGGGCAGCGAAACCGCGAGGGUAAGCCAAUCCCACAAAUCUGUUCUCAGUUCGGAUCGCAGUCUGCAACUCGACUGCGUGAAGCUGGAAUCGCUAGUAAUCGCGGAUCUGCAUGCCGCGGCGAAUACGUUCCCGGGCCUUGUACACACCGCCCGUCACACCACGAGAGUUUGUAACACCCGAA